rnacentral:rRNA from 1 species
AACCGUGCCCCAUAGUCUGGGAUACCACUUGGAAACAGGAGCUAAUACCGGAUAAGAAAGCAGAUCGCAUGAUCAGCUUUUAAAAGGCGGCGUAAGCUGUCGCUAUGGGAUGGCCCCGCGGUGCAUUAGCUAGUUGGUAAGGUAAAGGCUUACCAAGGCGAUGAUGCAUAGCCGAGUUGAGAGACUGAUCGGCCACAUUGGGACUGAGACACGGCCCAA